ACACGGAAGCGGUCUACUCUUCUCCGCCGCCGCAGCUCAAGAUCUAGGGCACGGGGCACCUGGGCACGAUCGCACGGGAUCGAAAAAGAGAGGAAGGCGCUCAAGAUCCAGGGCACCUGGGCUGCUGGGCAGUGGGCACGGCCGCACGGGAUCGAAAAGGAGAGGAAGGCUGGAAGGAGAUCGAGAUCUAGGGCACGGCCGUCGGCCACACGGAAAUACGGGAUCGAAAAGAGAGGAAGGCCGAAGGGAUUUAGGGAUUUAGCUUUAAGCCUUUAUAUAGUAACGGGUCGGGUCGGGUCCCGGAUCAAGAUUGGGUGGACCCGACCCGACCCGAAAAAUAGAUCGGGUCUAAAUUUAGGACCCGACCCGGCUCCGCGGGUCCUAAAAUUCGGGUCGGGUCGGGUCUAAAGCGGGUCGGGUCGGG
rnacentral:lncRNA from 1 species